GGAGGAUGUAACUCAAUGGUUGAGCAUCUGCUUUGCAUGCAGAAGGUCCUUGGUUCAAUCCUUGGCAUCUCCA